GUCCCUUUCGUCUAUGGGUAGGACAUGGCCCUUUCAAGGCCAAAAAACGGGUUCGAUUCCCGUAAGGGAUA
rnacentral:tRNA from 1 species